rnacentral:rRNA from 1 species
AGUGAACGCUGGCGGUAGGCCUAACACAUGCAAGUCGAACGGCAGCACAGUAAGAGCUUGCUCUUACGGGUGGCGAGUGGCGGACGGGUGAGGAAUACAUCGGAAUCUACUUUUUCGUGGGGGAUAACGUAGGGAAACUUACGCUAAUACCGCAUACGACCUACGGGUGAAAGCAGGGGAUCUUCGGACCUUGCGCGAUUGAAUGAGCCGAUGUCGGAUUAGCUAGUUGGCGGGGUAAAGGCCCACCAAGGCGACGAUCCGUAGCUGGUCUGAGAGGAUGAUCAGCCACACUGGAACUGAGACACGGUCCAGACUCCUACGGGAGGCAGCAGUGGGGAAUAUUGGACAAUGGGCGCAAGCCUGAUCCAGCCAUACCGCGUGGGUGAAGAAGGCCUUCGGGUUGUAAAGCCCUUUUGUUGGGAAAGAAAAGCAGCAUGUUAAUACCCCGCUGUUCUGACGGUACCCAAAGAAUAAGCACCAGCUAACUUCGUG